rnacentral:misc_RNA from 1 species
CGUCUGAAUUAACCGUAGAUAAGAAGUGGGCAGCCACAUGUUCCGGAAGUAUGUUGGCCAGCAGCUUUUGGUUGUAGGCUUUCAGGUGCUCCAUUUCUUCUUUCUCCUCGGUUGCUUGCAACUUCCACAAGAAGUCCAACCUGCAUUAGCUUCUGUGUGUUGGGAAUGGGCAAUGAGACACGUCAUAAAGAAAAUGACCAGAACACCCGCUAACCAUCUUCCAGUCAAUUCUACAUCUCUUUCGUGAGAGAAACUCGCCCCGGUAUUCCGCCGCUUUCCAUGUAGUUGGCCAGGGUGACGUCGUUGCUCCAGACGUCGAACUGCCACUUCCUCAAGCCAAGGACCCCGCAAUGAACUCUGCCUGUGUGUAUCCCCACUCUCAUGUUCACGUUCACCGCACCAACC